CAUUCUCAAACUUCUGCAACUGUUAACAGUACAGCUAUAAUAAGGUACUACAUACCUGCCUAGCCCACCUACUAGUGUGGUCAAAGACCAUCUCCCACAGGGUUACCAAUAAACUUUUUAAUAGAGAGAGUAGAUAACAAAUAGGACUUUGAAGUCAGACAGAGCAGAGUCCUUUUUUUUUUUUUGUCUUUUCUUUUUUGUACUGGGGAUCCAACCAAAGAUGUUGCACAAAUGCUUUGCCACUGAACUACAUCCCAACCCCAGAGACUCCUUCUAGUACAGUUACUUACAUGUUUUUUUUUUUUUUCUCUUCUGUAAAAUGUAGCUAACAUCCAAUACAUUUCAGAGUAAUUCUAAAGAUUAAAAGAAAAUAUGUAAUGCUUGGCACACAGUAGGCAAACAAAGGAAUUUAUUAUUCCCUAUUUAUUAUUUUAAAACAAUCACCUAAAGCUUAUUAGAAAGCAAAAGUAUCCUUUAAAGCUGAUCUAAGUGGAAUAUUGGGAGAUUAUAUAUAUGUGUGUGUGUGUGUG